rnacentral:rRNA from 1 species
GACGGAGGAUGCAAGCGUUAUCCGGAAUGAUUGGGCGUAAAGCGUCCGCAGGUGGCAGUUCAAGUCUGCUGUCAAAGACCGGGGCUUAACUUCGGAAGGCAGUGGAAACUGAACAGCUAGAGUAUGGUAGGGGCAGAGGGAAUUCCUGGUGGUAGCGGUGAAAUGCGUAGAGAUCAGGAAGAACAUCGGUGGCGAAGGCGGGUCUCUGGGCAGUGAACUGACGCUGAGGAGCGAAAGCGUGGGGAGCGAACAGG